GGUAAAACUUCCUCUCCAACUAGGAAGAAUGCAAGUAGUUCUGAAAUCCCUACUGGAAAACCUGUUACCAAAGGUAAAACUUCCUCUCAAAAGAAGAUGAAUGCAAGUAGUUCUGAAAUCCCCAUUGAAAUCCCUGCUAAGAAAGCAAAAGGUUCAUCUGUACAGAAAUUGGAUGCAGCUCAAGG